UACGGGGGGGGCAAGCGUUGUCCGGAUUUAUUGGGCGUAAAGAGCUCGUAGGCGGUUCGAUAAGUCGGGUGUGAAAACUUUGGGCUCAACCCAAAGCGUGCAUUCGAUACUGUUGUGACUAGAGUUCGGUAGGGGAGUGGGGAAUUCCUAGUGUAGCGGUGAAAUGCGCAGAUAUUAGGAGGAACACCGGUGGCGAAGGCGCCACUCUGGGCCGAAACUGACGCUGAGGAGCGAAAGCGUGGGUAGCAAACAGG
rnacentral:rRNA from 1 species